CAGAAAGUCCAGUCUCUGCAUGUACAUGCGUGGUGAUCGACUGUCAGUGCAUCUCUUCAAUUUUAUCCCCUUGUUGCGUGCCCAGCCGGUGCUUCAGGGAUCCUGUGUUGCGUAAAAAACGAAAAAAUUGUGGAUGUGUUACCAUUCAUCGUUCGUCGAGUGGCCUUGUGGCUGCCCGGUGGACCUAAAUAAAACAAGGGGUCCCGUUUGUAUCGAUCAGGAUGAUUCGAUCAUGCCGGUGCAUCGGUGCUCGAUUGAGUGCUUUUGGAUACGGAAAAUCCUAUGAGCGGAGGGUUAAGUCCCCGUUCGCUCGUUUGCAUUUUGUCCGUUGACACGAUCGAUGCUCUUGCCUUGUUAUGGACCCUCUCCUACCCAGGUAGAGUGAAGCGGGCCGUGCAGGGCGGUUGUCCGCGAGGAAUGCUACCUGGUGAUCCAGCCAGUAGCAUAUGCUUGUCUUUAAAAAACCUGCUGUGA
rnacentral:misc_RNA from 1 species